rnacentral:rRNA from 1 species
GACGAACGCUGGCGGCGUGCUUAACACAUGCAAGUCGAGCGAGAGCCAGCUGAGGGGUAACCCUCGGCUGGGGACAGCGGCGAACGGGUGCGUAACACGUGGGCAACCUGCCCCUGACACUGGGAUAACCCCGGGAAACCGGAGCUAAUACCGGAUACUCUCGGCCGAUCACAUGGCUGGCCGAGGAAAGGUCCGCCGGUCAGGGAUGGGCCCGCGGCCUAUCAGCUUGUUGGUGAGGUAACGGCCCACCAAGGCGACGACGGGUAGCUGGUCUGAGAGGACGACCAGCCACACUGGAACUGAGAUACGGUCCAGACUCCUACGGGAGGCAGCAGUGGGGAAGUAUUGCACAAUGGGCGAAAGCCUGAUGCAGCGACGCCGCGUGAGGGA